CAGAUAGAGUCAUCAGUGUUAGUGCUGGGUAUUGAACUCAAGACCUCUGUCAUGUAGGCAGCCACUGUACCAACUGAGCUACACCCCUGCUCCUAAGUGUGUAGAAACUUUAACUGGGGCUGGGGAGAUGACUCAGUCUGGAAAGUGAUUGCCUCAGAAGCACAAAGACCCAAGUUCCAUCUACUCCUUGCAGAGAGAAAGCCAGUUGUAGUGGGGCUCAGUGGCCAGCAUCCUGGUGAGACCGAGACCCAGGAGAAACCAUGUCUCAAGGUGGCUCGUGCCUGAGAAAUAACAUCUGUGACGGCAAUUCUUGGUUGUCAACUUGACCACAUCUGGAAUGAACUACAGUACAGAAAUGGAGGGCACACCUGUGAGAGAUUAUUUUUGCUUGGUUUGAAGUGGAUGAACCCACUUCUAGUCCAGACUUUUGAGGUGGGAAGACACAUGCCUUUGAUCCAGAACUUGAGGUUGGAAGAUACACCUUUAAUCUGGGCCACACCUUCUGCUGGGAGACUUUUGCUUAUCGCCUGCUUGCCCUCACCUUGCUAGCACAUCCAUUCCUCCACUGGCUUCAGAGUCUACUUCUUUGGGAUCCCAGCAUAUACUGAAGACCAGCUAUGAAGUGUGAUCCUAAUUAGUCUUACUAAUAAAAACCCGGAGUCAGAAAUUGAAGUUGAAAGCUGAAAGAUCAGAGAAGCAGAGUAACAGCCACUAAGAGAUUGUUUACUUCUACAACAUCUCAGGCCGGAUGGGAUCCUGUCUCUACGAAUCCUCAGACUUAAUGGGGGUCAAGAUCCUGUCUCCACCCUGUUGUAGAAUAUUAUUGUAAGAUCCAGAUGUAGAAAUCUCAGCUACUUCUCCAGCGCCAUGUCUGCCUGCAUGCCACCAUGCUUCCUGCUGUGAUGAUAAUGGACCUAAUCCUGUGAAACUAGAGACCCAAGGAGAGCCUGGAAGACCACUCAGUUAAGAAAGGCACACAAGGAAGAAGGCCUUUAUCAGAAAACUGGCACCUUCAUCUCAGACCUCUAGGUUCCAGAGCUGUGAAAAAACACUGUUGUUUUUGAAGAAGGGUCUCAUGUAGCCCAGGCUAGCUUCAAAUUCAAUAAAUAGCCAAACGUGACCUCAA